rnacentral:rRNA from 1 species
UACAGAGGUCUCAAGCGUUGUUCGGAUUCAUUGGGCGUAAAGGGUGCGUAGGUGGCGCCGUAAGUCGGAUGUGAAAUCCUGAGGCUUAACCUCGGAACUGCAUUCGAUACUGCGGUGCUUGAGGACUGGAGAGGAGACUGGAAUUCAUGGUGUAGCAGUGAAAUGCGUAGAGAUCAUGAGGAAGACCAGUGGCGAAGGCGGGUCUCUGGACAGUUCCUGACACUGAGGCACGAAGGCCAGGGGAGCAAACGGG